GGAAGCCCUGUGGCUCAGUGGUAGAACAUCUGCCUUGCAUGCAGAAGGUCACAGGUUCAAUCCCCAGCACCUCCA